rnacentral:rRNA from 1 species
UACGGAGGGUGCAAGCGUUAUCCGGAUUCACUGGGUUUAAAGGGUGCGUAGGUGGCGCCAUAAGUCAGGUGUGAAAUCUCGGGGCUCAACCCCGAAACUGCACUUGAUACUGUGGUGCUGGAGUACUGGAGAGGAGAUUGGAAUUUACGGUGUAGCAGUGAAAUGCGUAGAUAUCGUAAGGAAGACCAGUGGCGAAGGCGAAUCUCUGGACAGUUACUGACACUGAGGCACGAAGGCCAGGGGAGCAAACGGG